GCCAUAGACAUUUAACUUGAAAUAUAUUGCCGUGCUCUUAAAAACAUUCUAUAUUUUCUUUCAGUCAGGAGUUCGUCUUGUACGUGAAAUCGUCAAGGAUGUUCAACCUCAAAAAAUCAUUCUUAACGAUGGCACAGAGGUCCCAUAUGGUUUGUUGGUAUGGUCUAUAGGUGUCGGUCCUUCAUCAUUUGUACCAGCUACGGAAUUUCCAAAAUCACCAGGAUAGGAGUGGAUGAGUGGCUACGGGUUCCAAUCUGCGCAGGUUGUGUAUUCGAUUAGCGAUUGUUGUGGGUUUCUUGAAAGUACUGGUAAACCUGUGCUUCCAGCUUUAGCUCAGGUGGCAGAAAGGCAGGGAAAAUAUCUAGCACACUCGCUGAACAAAAUUGGUAAGAAUGGUGGAGGGUGUGCAAACAGUGCUAAAGUCGACCAUUUUUUGAUAGACAUUUAGGAGCAUGGCUACUGUUGGGAGAUACAAAGCUCUUCUAGACCUAAGGCAAAGCAAGGAUCCAAUAGGUGUAUCCAUUGCUGGAUUUAGUAGUUGGUUCAUUUGGCGAUCAGCAUAUCUUACCGGCGUCAAUUCUUUCAACUGUGAGCAGAACCCCACGUUAUAAGCUGCAAGAACUCUCCCCGAUUAUAUCCGAAAGAUAGAUUGGCUAACGCAUGCUUCUUGUCUUCGAGUACAAAGGCAAUGUCAUAUUUUAUAAGCUGC